UUUAAAAAAAGAAAAUAGGCUGGAGUCGACACAGAAAAUUAAGAAGAGGCAAAAACGCUCACCCAUGAGACGUUUUCUAACUGCUCCCCGAUUUUUUUCUAAUUUAUUGUUUUUUCUUAUUUUUU
rnacentral:ribozyme from 1 species